UAAGGAAUAUUGGACAAUGGAGGCAACUCUGGUCCAGCCAUGCCGCGUGAAGGAAUAAGGCCCUAUGGGUUGUAAACUUCUUUUAGACGGGACAAAACCCCUUUACGUGUAAAGGGUUGAUGGUACUGUCAGAAUAAGCAUCGGCUAACUUCGUGCCAGCAGCCGCGGUAAUACGAAGGAUGCAAGCGUUAUCCGGAAUUAUUGGGUUUAAAGGGUGCGUAGGCGGACUAAUAAGUCAGUGGUGAAAGCCUGCAGCUUAACUGCAGAAUUGCCAUUGAUACUGUUAGUCUUGAGUACAGUUGAGGUAGGCGGAAUGUGGCAUGUAGCGGUGAAAUGCUUAGAUAUGACACAGAACACCGAUUGCGAAGGCAGCUUGCUAAGCUGUAACUGACGCUGAGGCACGAAAGCGUGGGGAGCAAACA
rnacentral:rRNA from 1 species